GGAUUUCUUUCUUUCUUUCUUUCUUUCUUUCUUUCUUUCUUUUUUUUUUUUUUUUUUUUUUUUUUGGUUUUUUGGUAUUUCGAGACAGGGUUUCUUUGUAUAACCCUGGCUGUCCUGGAACUCACUCUUUAGACCAGGCUGGCCUCGAACUCAGAAAUCCUCCUGACUCUGCCUCCCGAGUGCUGGGAUUAAAGGCAUGCGCCACCACACCCGGCUGCAAGCUGGAUUUCAAACAAUCAAUGUGGGAAGAAGUUUGGUUAAUGGUUAUUCCAGGAGAUAGAGCUAAAGCUAGCUGCUGCCACAGAUUGCUUAUUCCAGUUCUGGGAGCCUGGGUAAGGCGGGGUCCUGUGGACAGAUGUGCCACACCUAGAGGGUAGCAAUGAUCAACAGCCUCAUUGUUCCCUCAGCCCCAGGGCAUACAAGAGGUGGUCCCAUUUGUAUUCAAUUUGUAUUUAUGUUGCUUUCCAGCAGAGGCAAGGGUUGGGCUGGGAGCGGCUCCAGCAGGAGCCUGGCCCUCUGUCUCUGAAGGUGGCCACGGACAAUCCCAGCAAGGAGUCCUCAGCCUCUGUGUAGAAAAAUCAGACGAGGUUUGUGGAGCAAUGGGCAACACUCUUCCUGGACAGACAAGUUUUAUGGGCUCAGAAGCUUUAAAAUCACAGAGCACCCUCUUCUAGAAACAGGUGCCCUCCUCUCUAAUGAGUUUAGCUUGUGUCAGGUAGACAUAAACUAUCCAGCACACCAUGUUUUGCUAUAUUUAAAACAAAAACCAAAAAACACAACAGACAGUUGUGGCUCAUGCCUUUAACCCAACACUCGGGAGGCAGAGCCAGAUGGAUCUCUGAGUUUGAGGCCAAGCCUGGUCUAAGGAGUGAGUUCCAGAGCAUUCAAGGCUACACAGAGAACCCCUGUCUCAAAAACCAAAACAACAACAAAAAGGUAACCCACUACUUGUGGCUGGUGAGGUCAUUUCAAAACCAACAAAAGUUCUAACAGAAUUCUAAACACUUAGCCAUACCCAAAGAUAAAUGUAGCUCUUACCCCUCCCCUCGCCAAAGAAGCUUCUUUUUGCAGCAUCGUGGAAAGCCACAGCUGGUCAAAAUGUAGAGAACUGACCGUGGGGUGCCCAGACCCCGUUGAUAAAUCGAAAACACAACCCUGACACCUAAGGCUCAGGAACUAUCACAAAAGAGAGUGUGGAAAGACUGGAAGAGGCAGAAGACCUGGGCAGGAAAUGGGUGGUUGUCUGCUUCAAGGUAGUCUUUUAUGUUCGACAGUGGAGCAUUACCUAGAAAUAUCUCAACAAUAUCCUUGCCUAAACAAGACUUAAAAAAAAAUACCACCACCUAUUGACAGGCCGACCUGGAUGGGUGUGGUAGUUUGAAUAGGCUAGGCCCCCAUAGAUUCAUCUGCUUGGAUGCUUGACCAUACAGAGUGGCACUAUUAGGACAUGUGGCCUUAUUGGAGUAUGAGUGGCCUUGUUGGGGGAAGAGUGUCACUGUAUAGGUGGGUUUUGAGGCUUCCAAUGCUUAUCCCCUUCUGCUGCCUUUGGAUCAAGAUGUAGAACUCUAGGCUUCUUCAGCGCCAUGUUUGCCUGCCUGCUGCCAUGCUUCCUGCCAUGAUGAUAAUGGUCUGUAUCUCUGAAACUGUAAGCCAGCCCCAAUUAAAUGUCCUUUGU
rnacentral:lncRNA from 1 species